rnacentral:rRNA from 1 species
UACGUAGGGGGCAAGCGUUGUCCGGAUUUACUGGGCGUAAAGAGCGUGUAGGCGGCCUCGUAGGUCCGUUGUGAAAACUGGAGGCUUAACCUCCAGACGUCGACGGAAACCGCGUGGCUAGAGUCCGGAAGAGGAGAGUGGAAUUCCUGGUGUAGCGGUGAAAUGCGCAGAUAUCGGGAGGAACACCUAUGGCGAAGGCAGCUCGCUGGGACGAGACUGACGCUGAGACGCGAAAGCGUGGGGAGCAAACAGG